CGUAGGUCCCGAGCGUUGUCCGGAUUUAUUGGGCGUAAAGACGAGCGCAGGCGGUUUGAUAAGUCUGAAGUAAAGGCUGUGGCUUAACCAUAGUAUGCUUUGGAAACUGUCAAACUUGAGUACAGAAGGGGAGAGUGGAAUUCCAUGUGUAGCGGUGAAAUGCGUAGAUAUAUGGAGGAACACCGGUGGCGAAAGCGGCUCUCUGGUCUGUAACUGACGCUGAGGCUCGAAAGCGUGGGGGAGCAAACAGGAUU
rnacentral:rRNA from 1 species